rnacentral:rRNA from 1 species
CGCGGCCUAUCAGCUUGUUGGUGAGGUAAUGGCUCACCAAGGCGACGACGGGUAGCCGGCCUGAGAGGGCGACCGGCCACACUGGGACUGAGACACGGCCCAGACUCCUACGGGAGGCAGCAGUAGGGAAUAUUGGGCAAUGGGCGCAAGCCUGACCCAGCGACGCCGCGUGAGGGAUAAAGGUCUUCGGAUUGUAAACCUCUUUCAGUAGGGAAGAAGCGAAAGUGACGGUACCUAAAGAAGAAGCACCGGCUAACUAUGUGCCAGCAGCCGCGGUAAUACAUAGGGUGCAAGCGUUGUCCGGAAUUAUUGGGCGUAAAGAGCUCGUAGGUCGUUUGUCGCGUCGAUUGUGAAAAUCUGAGGCUCAACCUCAGACCUGCAGUCGAUACGGGCAAACCAGAGUGUGGUAGGGGAGACUGGAAUUCCUGGUGUAGCGGUGGAAUGCGCAGAUAUCAGGAGGAACACCAAUGGCGAAGGCAGGUCUCUGGGCCAUAACUGACACUGAGGAGCGAAAGUGCGGGGAGCGAACAGGAUUAGAUACCCUGGUAGUCCGCACCGUAAACGGUGGGCACUAGUUGUGGGAACCUUCCACGGUUUCCGCGACGCAGCAAACGCAUUAAGUGCCCCGCCUGGGGAGUACG